GGCAUUGAGUGUCAGCGACAAGCCCUGGCUUGCUGACCGGCAACCCUCCUUCGCGGUGGGGUGCUCCAGGUGAAAGCCCGGCCCGACCGGAACCCCGGCGGGCAAGCGCGAGAG
rnacentral:ncRNA from 2 species